AUUGAACGCUGGCGGCAGGCCUAACACAUGCAAGUCGAACCGUAACAGGAAGAAGCUUGCUUCUUUGCUGACGAGUGGCGGACGGGUGAGUAAUGUCUGGGAAACUGCCUGAUGGAGGGGGAUAACUACUGGAAACGGUAGCUAAUACCGCAUAACGUCGCAAGACCAAAGAGGGGGACCUUCGGGCCUCUUGCCAUCGGAUGUGCCCAGAUGGGAUUAGCUAGUAGGUGGGGUAACGGCUCACCUAGGCGACGAUCCCUAGCUGGUCUGAGAGGAUGACCAGCCACACUGGAACUGAGACACGGUCCAGACUCCUACGGGAGGCAGCAGUGGGGAAUAUUGCACAAUGGGCGCAAGCCUGAUGCAGCCAUGCCGCGUGUAUGAAGAAGGCCUUCGGGUUGUAAAGUACUUUCAGCGGGGAGGAAGGGAGUAAAGUUAAUACCUUUGCUCAUUGACGUUACCCGCAGAAGAAGCACCGGCUAACUCCGUG
rnacentral:rRNA from 1 species